AGAGAAGAUUAUGUCAGCAUCUAUAAAAAUCUAUAUUUGAUUGAAUCAAUAGCUAUUUUAUGUGGGGAUGGCUAAUCAGAUGUCUCUUUUUGCCUCUAAAAGCUUCUCCCAUUGUUUCACAGCCCCCUUUGGAGGAUCAAACUCAGGACCUUCAGCUUUAGAGACUGAUGUGUUGCCUACUGUGCUAAGAAGGCGAGCACUUGCAUAUAGGAUAUAUUCUAUAACGCAAAAAGAUAAGAGAUGGAAGAAGAUCUAAGAGCAUUGCUCUAGCAAUUUUAGGGAAAGAUUGGACACGGAAAAGCUGAUGCAACAGAA
rnacentral:lncRNA from 1 species